GACUUGUGUAGUCAUACAUCCCCACUUUAACAACCCUCGCUUCUCUCUUCAUUUUUGCACCCUCCUACCCCUUCCCAUUGUGAUUCUUGUUUUAAUCGGUUUUUCUCUUCUUCCUUAACAGAGCUAUUAAGAAUGGCAAAGGAUUGCAUAGCAAGAAGGAAGUGCCUAUCCACCGUGUUGCAGAUAUAUCUGGGCUUGAGAGACUGAAAGGAUUUGAAGGCCCUUUGCAUCUAUGUGACUGAGUUCUGAGAGUCGAAAUGUCCAUGAUUUGGCACUCUGGAGGAUAGAGCACACAGACUUUGUGUUGAUGCACCAAAAAAGGAUACCCAAAAAGCAAAGCAGUUCCUGCCUUUUCUUCAGCGGGCAGGUCGUUCUGAAGCUGUGGUGGAAUACGUCUUCAGUGGUUCUCGUCUCAAACUCUAUUUGCCAAAGGAAACUUGCCUUAUCACCUUCUUGCUUGCAGGCAUUGAAU
rnacentral:sRNA from 1 species